rnacentral:rRNA from 1 species
AGAUUGAACGCUGGCGGCAUGCCUUACACAUGCAAGUCGAACGGCAGCACGGGAGCAAUCCUGGUGGCGAGUGGCGAACGGGUGAGUAAUAUAUCGGAACGUGCCCCAGUCGUGGGGGAUAACGCAAGUGAAAGCUGUGCUAAUACCGCAUACGAUCUAUGGAUGAAGCGGGGACUCGCAAGAGCCUCGCGCGAUUGGAGCGGCCGAUAUCAGAUUAGCUAGUUGGUAGGGUAAAGCCCACAGGCGACGAUCUGAGCUGGUCUGAGAGGACGACACGCCACACUGGAACUGAGACACGGUCCAGACUCCUACGGGAGCAGCAGUGGGGAAUUUGGGACAAGUGGGCGACUAAGCCCUAGAC